rnacentral:rRNA from 1 species
GAUGAACGCUAGCGGCAGGCCUAAUACAUGCAAGUCGAACGGCGUCUUCGGACAUAGUGGCGCACGGGUGCGUAACACGUAUGCAACCUACCUUACAUUGGGGGAUAGCCUUUCGAAAGGGAGAUUAAUACCGCAUAAGACAGUAGCUGGGCAUCCAGCAGCUGUUAAAGAUUUAUCGAUGCAAGCUGGGCAUGCGUCCAAUUAGCUAGUUGGUGGGGUAACGGCUCACCAAGGCAAUGAUGGGUAGGGGAACUGAGAGGUCAAUCCCCCACACUGGCACUGAGAUACGGGCCAGACUCCUACGGGAGGCAGCAGUAGGGAAUAUUGGGCAAUGGACGCAAGUCUGACCCAGCCAUGCCGCGUGCAGGAUGAAGGCGUUAUGCGUUGUAAACUGCUUUUAUACAGGAAGAAACGACUCUUGCGAGAGGCAUUGACGGUACUGUAUGAAUAAGCACCGGCUAACUCCGUGCCAGCCGCCGCCGUAAGAC